GAUGAACGCUGGCGGCGUGCCUAAUACAUGCAAGUCGAGCGAACAGACGAGAAGCUUGCUUCUCUGAUGUUAGCGGCGGACGGGUGAGUAACACGUGGAUAACCUACCUAUAAGACUGGGAUAACUUCGGGAAACCGGAGCUAAUACCGGAUAAUAUUUUGAACCGCAUGGUUCAAAAGUGAAAGACGGUCUUGCUGUCACUUAUAGAUGGAUCCGCGCUGCAUUAGCUAGUUGGUAAGGUAACGGCUUACCAAGGCAACGAUGCAUAGCCGACCUGAGAGGGUGAUCGGCCACACUGGAACUGAGACACGGUCCAGACUCCUACGGGAGGCAGCAGUAGGGAAUCUUCCGCAAUGGGCGAAAGCCUGACGGAGCAACGCCGCGUGAGUGAUGAAGGUCUUCGGAUCGUAAAACUCUGUUAUUAGGGAAGAACAUAUGUGUAAGUAACUGUGCACAUCUUGACGGUACCUAAUCAGAAAGCCACGGCUAACUACGU
rnacentral:rRNA from 1 species